rnacentral:rRNA from 1 species
AGAGUUUGAUCCUGGCUCAGGAUGAACGCUAGCUACAGGCUUAACACAUGCAAGUCGAGGGGCAGCAUGUUGGUUGCUUGCAACCAAUGAUGGCGACCGGCGCACGGGUGAGUAACGCGUAUCCAACCUACCCUUGUCCAUCGGAUAACCCGUCGAAAGGCGGCCUAACACGAUAUGCGGUUCUCAGCAGGCAUCUAACGAGAACGAAGUGUGAAGGAGAAGGAUGGGGGAUGCGUCUGAUUAGCUUGUUGGCGGGGUAACGCCACAAGGCGACGAUCAGUAGGGGUUCUGAGAGGAAGGUCCCCCANAUUGGAACUGAGACACGGUCCAAACUCCUACGGGAGGCA